UACGUAGGUGGCAAGCGUUGUCCGGAUUUACUGGGCGUAAAGAGCGCGCAGGCGGUCGUUCAAGUCGCGUGUGAAAGCCCCCGGCUCAACUGGGGAGGGUCACGCGAUACUGAUCGACUCGAAGGCAGGAGAGGGUAGUGGAAUUCCCGGUGUAGUGGUGAAAUGCGUAGAUAUUGGGAAGAACACCGGUGGCGAAGGCGGCGACCUGGUCCUUGACUGACGCUGAGGCGCGAAAGCGUGGGGAGCAAACAGG
rnacentral:rRNA from 1 species